GGAAAAGAGCUAUUAGGUUUCUUGAACAUUCUUGAAUAGCUAAUUCCUGGAGUCCUUCCUUAUCCUCCCUCACUCCUUCCCCUCUGUACCUUCCUGGCAUUUGCUCUAAGAUCUGCUGCUUUUCCAACAACGACCUGGCACAGAGCUGAGGUUUCCAAAUGUUAACUCCUUGGCACCGGUCCUGUAGGUGCUGAAAGAAUUCUUCCCUGAUUUGCACACAAACCCGUUCAUUUUGAUGCAUAUCAGGGUCAGCUUUUUGCCUCAAGUACAAGGUGGUUUGGAGGCCAGGGCACAGGGAACAGGGUGCAGAAGUGUCCUCUUUCUUUUCAGACCAUUUCUCAGCCGCUCUCACCUGAGCUGUAGAAAUGCCCUGUCCUUCCCGGCUCUUACUGAAUCCCCUGUGGGCAGAGGCAGAGUCAGACAGCAGACUGUCACCUACAUACCAGCUUUUCGGACUUCCUUCAAGCAGGUCUGCACAGUCCCCAGCUUCCCUGUGUGUCUCCUGCCUUUGUCCAGGGGCAAGCUUUUCUAAAGCGCCUGUGAUCGAAAAAAACCUUUCCACCCAGAUGCCACCGUUAAUAUGACUAUUUUAGCACGACACCUGUGAGGUUUACUCUGGGGUGAAGGAAUGGUCUCACCCGCCUGACAGCUAUGGGUGUCCUUAUUCUCUGCCUGAUUCUUAUAAACAGAUGGAGUUGGAGCAUGGUUCAGGGAAAACAAAGAGAGAAAGAGAUAAUUCCUUCAUGCAUUUCUUCCUUCCAAAAGCUUCUCUUGAGUGCUACUGCAUGGAUCUGGGAAAGAUAUUGGGGAUUCCAAUAUAAAUGACACAGUCUUUGUCCUCCAAAAACUCAAGAGUCUAGAGAAGAAAGAGAAACCAUUCUAAUAGCAUACAAGCAGAGCCUAUUACUUAGGAGAAGUUCUUCACAAUGUUGAGGGAAGAUUAGGGGUUUAAUAAAAGCUUCCUAGAAGCAGCAGCAUUUGAGUUGAAUCUGCCUAGAAAUGACAAAUGUUAUGGUGGGCCUUCUGUGGGUCAGACACUGUGGCAAGUGCUAAAUAAAUGUGAACAAAAUCGACUCUGACCCUGACAUUACAGAGCUUAAAUUUCAGAGAGAACAGAGAGAGGUGUAGUUGCAGGAUGGGAGGAGGGGCUUAGCAUCUAGCUGUAAAGGACAAAUACUAGCUAACAAUGAUGGAAUGGUCUUAUGUGCCAGAUACCACACUAAUUGCAUUGUAUUUCAUCUUAAAACAAAAUUAUGUAGCAGGCGUUGUUAUUUACAUUUUAAAGGUGAUCUCACUGAAAUUUAGAGCGUAUAAAUAACCUACCUUCCAUGGCAGAGCUUGUAGGUACAAGAUCUAAGAUUUCAUCUUCGGUGUGUCUUACCCCAAAAGAGAGGGAGGGCAUUUCAAGUCGAGAGACUAGCUUUUGCAAAGUUUUGGAAGUGGGACAGAAUCGAAUUUAUAUUCCAGAAGCUAAAAGUGGAGUAAAAGUGGAGCUAUUCUACAGGGGAGCAAUGGAGCUGAGAGCAUGGUAAAAAAUAAUGUUCCAGGGAGGGAAGUAACCAUUCAUAGAUGAACUUAUAACUUAGAAUGCUGAGGACUUUGCAGUUGGUUCCAGAGAGCCAUGAAAAACCAUCAGUGGGCUCUAAAUAAGAACAGGGUGGGAUAAAUUUAGAGUUUCGGAAGCACUAUUUUGACUGAUAAGUUAAAAGAAAUAGUGGAAUUGGUAAUAACUGGAAUAAUGAAGGUGAAAAACGGAUCCAUUGGAGAGCUUUAAAAGACAUAUAAUAAACCAGAGUUGGUGAGCUUAGACCUGGUGAAAUCAGGCAUGGUGAUGAAAGGGAGAGUGAACUGAUGACAACUCCCAAGUUUUUAGCAGGGCAAGCUGAGUUGAUGACAAUCUCUGAAAAGGGGAAUAUAAGCCAAUUUUUAGGGAGUAAGACUUUGUGUUCCCUUUAAACUUCUGGGAGAAACUCAGAAGGAGAUGUCUAGUAGUCUAUGAAUCUGAAGCUUUGGAGAGUGAUUUGGGUGGGAGAAAUUGAUGUAGAAGCCGUCUCCUACAGUCUUCCAGAAGUCACUGUUAAUGUGUUCAAUGAUGCAUCUCAAGCAGAACAUGCAUGGAGAAGAGGAAGAUGAUUUAUGAAAAAUCCAGGGAAUAUCAACACGAAAGAGAUAAGUAGAAGAAAAUAAAACCAUUAAAGGAGACUACAAAAGAGUGGAUAGAGUGGACAGAGAAAAGGUGCACGAAGAGUAUUUUUCUCUUUCCAUAGCACGUUAGGACUAAAAGCCAUCUGUCUCUUUCGCUUUAGAGAUGGAAGUGGUGCUGGGAGAGUUCAAGUGUAGGUGGCAGGGGUGGGGGUGGGGCUCCCAGAACAAGGGGAAGGCCACGGGGGCAACCAGCAUCUGCGCCCACAUGCGCACCUCUGUGGCGGUAUGACAUAAUCGGUACCCCUGGGCACAGGCGCAACUAUGUAACGAACUGCCCACAUUACAUAUCAGAAUUUACAGAAUGUAUGUUACCUCAUAAAGGGGACAAAGAGACCAAGCUGUAGUGGAAAACUAGUGGAGGUAUAUAAGGCAACACCCCGCUGCAUUUGGGGCUCAGCCUUUGGAUAUGAAUCCGCUGAGCCAGUGCCAACAGGAAUAAAUGCUGCUUCCUGGCAAAAACCCUCGGUGUCCCAUCUCUCUGUAUGAGAAUCCUGCAACACAAGCACACUGGCCAAGGACGUACAGCUGGUCACUAUUACAACUAGCCCUGAAGCCCAGUGCUGAGGACAGUUUUUGUGCUUUUGAUUUUGUUUUGGGUUUUUUUGUUUUGUUUUGUUUGGUUGGUAGUUUUUUGUUUUUUGGGUUCUUUUUUUUUUUUUUUUUUGCUGCACCCAUGGCAUGUAUCCUUUUGACAUCAGAUUUCAUCACAGAUUUCCAAUUUUUAAAAGGCAAUUCAAUUAUCCACUUGAGCCACUAAGAAGGGAGAAGGGAAUGUAUUCCUUGUUUGCCAGUUUCUUUUGCAUGGGGUAGCCCAGGAAAUAUAAGCUCAACCCCACAAAAUGGGCCUUAUUUUUCCAUUUUCUAUGGAAGAAACUGAGGCUAAGAAAUAGAAAGGUGUUGGGAUCACACAGCUACAGUAGACAGUUGCUUCAUUGCCAUGUUGUCAUGUUUCUGUUUGUCAACUCCUUGGGGGUUCAGUGCUGACUCUAUAUGCAAACUAGCCAGAAGGGACAAUUUUGGGGGGGGGAUCUUAAUAAUAAUAAAGGGGAAGAGGGUAGGUUGAUUUAAAAGCUUUGUUCGCUGCAUUGGGGAGUUGAGAUGAAUUCUAAAGUGGACCCAGAGCUUUGCGGAAAUGAGCAAGAUCUUUCAAGAAAUGCCAAUAAUUGAGAGCUAGCACCGGAGUUAUUAACAGAGUCGGCACUUUCUACUUUCAGAGCAAGUCUAUCAUUGUGCCAGGGCCUCAGCCUCUUGUGUUGGAAAUGAGUUAAUGUAGUCAAAAUAUGACAUGCUAUUUUUAUUCCUUCCCCAGAUCAGCCAUAGUUUAACAAUGCAUUUCAAAGUACGGCUGAUGGGAGCUCCACCUGGAACCUGUUCUCCCAGAUAAGUAUCUUCAUCCCAUUCAUCCUUUCAAGAAAAGAAAUCUUACUUGCAUGGCAGCAUUUUCAUCUGCUUUGGUUUCAGCUAGAGAUAAAUUGUGCUUGCGGGAACUAAUUAAUAUCAGUCACCUGGAAAGUAGAAAUUGGGAGACAACAGGCUUCUCUUUCUUGAUAAACAGAUUGCUGGGUAAGGGAGGCACGUGGAUGUGAGAAUUCAUUUGGUCCUAGAAAUAGCAGACAUGUGACUUUGGGGACCGAUAUUUGGAAAGCACAAGCAACCAAACCUCCUGGCUUCAGCCACUUGGGCUCAGGUGGGGCUUUUGUGCUAAGUUUCAAGCUUCCCUAAAUCCUCUGGAUCAGCAGAAAUCUCUAUGGCCCCCCAGGGAAGUUGCCCUGAAACUCUAACCAUAUUGUGAAAAUAAUGACCAACUCCUGGGAAAGCUUGUUUUGCACCCCUGUCAUCAGAAGUCCACCUUUGCCUGACCCGAGCUCCCACUUGGCUCAAGAACCAUAAAUGCUGGCCUAGAUGAUGUGUAACCCAAGGAAUCCAAAAUCAGAACCAUGCAGCUAGUGGGAAAAAGCAAAAUAUAUUUAGAAACAAGAAGCAGCAGACAGAUUCCCUAGAACCAGCCUGUCCAGGGAGAAGUUGUAAAGCUCUGAGGCAAGAUAGCCCAUGUUUGGUCUGGACCAGGAAGAGCAAACCCGUCAUAACCGCCACCAAUGAAGAUAUCACACUUCUGUCAUGGCAAACUCUUCUUUCGGGAGAUGGAUUUUGAAUGAGGCAGGAGAGGGAACAUGCCUCCGAAGGAGUAUUCCUUACACCCAGUUUCUCAGAGAAGGCUUGAGGGGUCAUUUCUCAUAUCAAGAAUCAUUAAUUUCUCUUUUUAUUGGAGCUUGAGAAGAAUGAUCUCCCAGAAGCUAUUGAGAGCCAGGGCAUCCAGGGAUUGAUGUAGAGAAUGUUGAAAAUUCUGACAAUUUGUGUUCAUUUACCCAGUCCAACAGCCAAUAUCCUUACAAACCCAAAGGACAAAACAAAGGGACAUUAGUAGAUUCGAAUAUGACAGUAUGGUUGCUGUGAUAGGUGUCUAUGCAGAAGACAUAAACAUGGAGUCAGUUCUACAAAUCUGGGCAAAAAGUAGGCGGAGAGAGAUCUGCAAAGAUUUUCUAGAGAAGGCAAAACUUGAACUAAGUCAAUGAAAGAUGGCAAGCGUCUGUAGGUAAACAGAUUAGGGAAAUCUAUUUUGCUCUGCACUCCACUCCAGGAGAGAUCUGGAUAAAGAGGGUUUUACUUCUGCUGCUUCUCCCACUGCCCACUGAACAUACCAAGGUCCACUCUGGGAAUAAAGAUCCCAUGUAGCUCUCACUGCCCAUUCUCGCUUAUGAGCAAUGGAUUUGUUCCCCUAGAUCUUGGGACAGUUCUGAAUUACUCAUUUCAUUGUAUGCAUUCACUAGAUUGCAAAUCCCUUGAAGACAGGGGCUCUCAUUAAUUGGUUUGUGCUUCUCUGGUGACUACAACAAUGUCUGGGACAUAGCUGGUGUUUUUCUGAAGUUCAUUAAGUACUAUAUAUAUGUCUCCACACAUUUUAGCAAUUUCUUAAAUAUAGGAACCAUAUGAUUCAGCCCUCUAGCACAGAGUUCAAAGGAAAUAUUCAAUAAAUGCUUAAUGAAUGCCUAAGUAAGUGGGGACAUUUUUAAACGUUGAGAAAUAAGUUAGUGCUACAUCUUCUUCUAGGAACCCCCCCAGACUUUAGCUUGAUAGUGGAGGCAGUGAUACACUAUAUGUCCAUCUUCUGACCAGUGUCAAUGUCCCUCCUGCCUUCCUCCAGGGAGUAAGGACUUGGUUAGGCAUUCUGAUUUCUCUCACUUUGGGUCUCAGAUAACCAUCUAUCACCUUGAAAUGAUCUGAGCAACAGUGAUCUACAACUGGUAAUGGCCAUGGUUUAUUAUCUUUCCCAAGAGUCCUUUCAGUGUGGUUAAAAAAUAUGUGCAUCACAAGCAUUGAAUUUCUAGUGUGACUGGUCAGCCAUAGAAGAGAUAUUUUGGAGAAAGGAAUCUGCCAUGAACCUCUCAACUCUUCUCUGGAUGCAGCUGCCUAAUCUGCAAUAAGAUUGACUCUGCCUCCUUUUCUGGCCACACCUGACUGAUUAGUCAAUAUCCCUGAUGUCUUCAUGGACUCAGUUUAUUCUGUAUGAGUUUGUCAGUGUGUUACUGGUUCAUGUUCUGAUAUUAUAUGAUGCCUAACAACUUGUGGUGUCACUGAAGCAGCAACAAUGGCUUAUAUUCUAACCCAGACCCUACCAUUGUGUGACCUGAAGCCAAGGACUUACCUUCUGUGACCCUGAGCAUCCUUGAUUGUGUCCCCUCAGAUCCUUAUCCUGAUGUUUGUUCUGUAAUUCUUUGAGUUUUAUUUACCUUCUCGAAUAGAGUCUAUGAGGUCAUCAGAUAUAUAUUUCACUUCAUCUUUCCUUUGGGGAAGUUUCCUCUGCAGGUGGGAUGGGGGUUGGCCUUGGAGGGAUAUAAGAAUUGCCACUGAUCUUGUGUAACUUGUUACUCAUGAUGCUGAGAGGUUCACAGCCCAUCCAAGCUUUUUAAAUAAUCCAUUCAAUCCCAGCCCUUGGCCUGAUCAUGUAAAGGGUUGGAAAAUCACAGCCAUAGGAAGCUCUGAAAGUGGAAUCGCAUCUGUGUAUUUGAUGGGUGAUGAAGGAGACGUGAAGAAGGAGAAGGGACAUAGCCAAUAAGGGAGUAGCAUCUUCUGCCAUCCAGAUUUACUUAGGACCACCUCCUUCCUGAAUUUAAAUAUUCACAGAUUGUGUA
rnacentral:lncRNA from 1 species